GAAUGAUGAUCUUUCAGAUGACGAGUCUGAAAGUGCUGGCCUGAGGUUUCCUCUUGCCGCCUUCUUUGACGACACACCUAUCUCUACCAUUCAUGCAUCUCUGACC
rnacentral:snoRNA from 1 species